GUUCCAGGGGGUUCCUUUGAAAACUUCCUGCGGUGUCCAGGAGCGAGCAGCCUGCUGCACACAGGACGCAAUGCCUGCUGAAAUCCCAGAUGAAAAUUCAUAAUCCACUUAGGAAAAAGGAGGGGGGAUGCACGGAGUUAGCACAUAUUAAGUGCCUGCUGUAGUCAAGCCCUGUUGGACACCAGGGACAUCUGGACCUUGACAACGGAGCGAAGGGGUGGUCCUGCCUGCACCAGGUUUCAGACUGUGGGUUCUCUCAACAGGGUGAACAUGAAAAAUAGAAGCCUCCAGUUUCUCCUGAUAGUGUAUAGAUGGGCAGAUCUGGCCUCAAUGGCAGAAGAUACUUGGGGAACUGGAGAAAGUACAGAAGGUGAUGUGAAAUCAAUUGGGUCAUCAAAAGAAGACGGGUGUACCACAAUUUGUUCCUCCACCUGCUGCCCAUGAACAUUUGGAGGGUUUCUAGUUUUUGGCUAUUACAAAUAAAGUUGUCAUGAACAUUUGCAUACAAA
rnacentral:lncRNA from 10 species